UAAAUGAAAGCCAAAAUAGCGGCGCCUAACUGUUAAUUAGGUUAUUGUAGAUUUAAUAUUACUCAUUUAG
rnacentral:tRNA from 1 species